CUUGGUUAAGGAACUCAUUAUCUUUCCUUGGACUUGGGAUCUCAUACUGCUUUUUUUAGAAUUUCAAUUAAUUUCACUGAUUUAGGUUGUGUGAUAAUUUCAAUGUUUACAUUGCAUUUUCUUUAAUUCAAUCUGAAUUUCAGGGUACUGCAUCAGUUUCUGAAAAUCAGGAUGCGACUUCGCUGUUCUAAGUUCCAUGCCAUCUGCAUUGAUCCAUGGCUGCGCCAGCAGGGAACUUGUCCUGUUUGUAAAUUUAAAGUCGGAUCAGGAUUGCACAACAAUGGACAAGGCGAUGCUUCCUAUAUGGUUUAACAGACUUACAGAGACAUUUGUAGCUGCUUAUAAAAUCACAUAUACAGCCAUAUACACUUGAAAUGAUUCAGAAACAAGGGAAUUCUUUAGACUAUAGUCAACUCUGGAUAAUGAAUAUGCUGAACUUCUGCAUGAAUUUAU